rnacentral:rRNA from 1 species
AUGAUGUCGUCAAAGCGGUGCUGUUUUACAAGCAGUAGUCAUUGUGGUUUGCAGAGGCUAGAGUGGCUUGACCUGCUCGAUGUUUCAGCUAGCCGCUGCUUUAAAUAUUGUUGUCUGCAUGCUUUAGUCGUUGUGCUCUUGACCCGUCAAAAAUAUAGUGGUUGUGCUCUUGGUUCUUCUUCAGAGGGCGCUAUGCUUAUCAUCAGAAACUUGGUGACGCCGUUUUUCUUCUUUGCAACUUUGAUUGGGCAUGCAGGUGUGUUGUACUUAUACAUGAAAACCGUUGAAAGAGCUCAUCUGCCAAACAAAUUAUGGGAGAGAGUCAAACUGCCCAGGAACUACGAGAAAGCCAAGAAAUACCGAAGCAAGCCUGCACACGGUAGCCAACUUUGCAGCAGAGAGCUUCCAUAG